GACGAACGCUGGCGGCGUGCUUAACACAUGCAAGUCGAACGGAAAGGCCCUGCUUUUGUGGGGUGCUCGAGUGGCGAACGGGUGAGUAACACGUGAGUAACCUGCCCUUGACUUUGGGAUAACUUCAGGAAACUGGGGCUAAUACCGGAUAGGAGCUCCUGCUGCAUGGUGGGGGUUGGAAAGUUUCGGCGGUUGGGGAUGGACUCGCGGCUUAUCAGAUUGUUGGUGGGGUAGUGGCUUACCAAGGCUUUGACGGGUAGCCGGCCUGAGAGGGUGACCGGCCACAUUGGGACUGAGAAACGGCCCAGACUCCUACGGGAGGCAGCAGUGGGGAAUAUUGCACAAUGGGCGGAAGCCUGAUGCAGCAACGCCGCUGGCGGGAUGACGGCCUUCGGGUUGUAAACCGCUUUCGCCUGUGACGAAGCGUGAGUGACGGUAAUGGGUAAAGAAGCACCGGCUAACUACGUG
rnacentral:rRNA from 1 species